GGGAAACAUUUACAUUUCUAAGGGAAACCUCUAUCUGUGAAGAUGCCUCCCUCUCUGUGCCAGGAAGGGGGGGGGAUGGUCUUAUCUCUAGAGGCUCUUGGUCAAUGCCAGAGGCAAGAACUUAAAUUGGUUACUGUCUGGCAACCUCAUGUAACUGACCCUCCCCCCCACAAAUCCUCCUUUGUCUUUAGCCGAGGAUAAAAUUCAAGCAGUGACUUCUGCCAUUUACUCAAUCCGGUUUGAUUCUUAUCUACCAUUUUAACUUUUUUACAUAUUCUUUGUCUUGUAAAGAGAUAACUCACAUACCUAUGCCUUAAAUUUAGCUCUAACCCUCAACUCGGGGCAGCAACAGGAGCUCUGACUGCCCGUGGGUCCUGUCCCCACGCACCAGCUCUGCCUGCCCAUGGGUCCUGUCCCCAUGCCAGCGGGGGCAGCAGAAGCGGCGGCAGCAGAAGCUCUGACUGCCCAUGGGUCCUGUCCCCAUGCUAUUCCACACUAUUCUCUAAAUAAAAGAGCACUACUGCCAGAUCUUGAGAGUCUAAGAAAUCUUUCUUUCGACUCCUCGGCUCACCGACCCCGCAUCAUUAUUCUAUGGAUAAAUAAACUUUUAAAAAUAUUAGGUGGUCAACUGAAAAAAUUCAUGGAGGAUACAUAGUUUCUCAAAUUUCUUUUAAGGGUACACAAGCAAAAACAUUUGGAGACAACUGAUCUAGACAGAUAAAUAUGGAAGACUAUUUAAGUCAAUCAUGCAAGUCCUUUACAGGAGCUGGCCAUCUAUUUUUAACUGUCCUAUUGGCAGAUUUCAGCAGACAGCUGUAUCAAGGGGAUGGAGGCUGCCUGAGAGUGCGGAAGAACACUGUUGGCCCGCUUAUUCUCAGUUGUGAAAACUUCUUUUCAAACUCUAAUAUUUAAACAAUGUAUUUGAGAUGAACGUGUUAGUCUGGGGUGGAAAUAGCUCCCAUUAGUGCUAUAGAACAGAGCAGGGGGAUCUACAGGACUAUCUUGGCAGCAGUUCUGGUUCAUUUCCCUCAAGGCCCCCCUUUUAUUUGUCCUGGCAUGCUUGUGAACUUCAGUACUUAGGAACAAGUGGGAGUGAGGGUGGGAUUGAUCCAGGCCAUCUUGAUGCUGUCCUGUUGACAAGUCCUUGCUGGAGGUGCCUGUCCUCAGUUCAGAAUUUUCCCCGAUGUGACUGGGGCUAAGUCGCUGCUCCAGGGCUUCCCCGGGGCUGGAACACCAGCAGUAGCUGAUUUUUGAGGAUAGGCAACCUCACGUCCCUUGUGUUAUUCUUGGAGAAAAAGGGUCUAUUCAAACUGAUCAUAACUCCAGAGUGAUUGCUCUUUUUAGUUCUUCCCCCAACCACUUUCCUGGGGUUUGAAUCUAUCAGAUCUAUCCAGGAGAGCAGGUUCAGUUUAGAUUUUGGAGUCUGCCACUUCAUGGACUUUCUCUCGGAGUAAGCCUGGGCCCCUAAUAUCAGACUUCAGUAACUAAUCUUUGAAAUACAUGCAGUGACCUCCCCUGCGUGCAUAUUUGCCCCAAGUUGGGCUGGAUUAGGGCAGAUCCCAUCAUACACUGCCUCAUGGACUCAAAAAUCACUGUGUUUCCUCCAGUGGCUCAGUUCUGGGGCUCAGUGCUGGAUAUUGAUCCUCCCCUUAUGCUUUCGUGAUAACCUUAGUUCAUAAAACUCACUGAGUUUCUGUGUGACUAGCCUGAAUCUGUACAAUCCAGGCUCCCUGACUCCAAAUCUCAGAGAAAAGGCAGUGGGAUAUUGUUUUCAUCCCUUGCAGAGGGUCUCAAGUUUCCUUAAGCAAAAUUUCCCUCCCUAUGGCUGUACUAAAUAAGAGGAGAGGCUCACUUUGCUAAGAGGAUAAUGAAUUCCCAUGUACCAGAGCUGAGGGUAUAUUGGCCUCAUAGAUACAUAACUAAAGGGGCUGUUCAACUGACUUCGCAGAGCCAAAAAGACCCCACAAAAACACCAAAAAAACAUUCCAAGAUUAUCUUCUAUUUCCUCUUGUUCUGUGAGCAUAGGGCAGCCAAAAUAAUAGUGCUAGUCAUGAUAAAACUAAGCUAUGGCAGGGCACUCCCUUAUCCAGAUGAAACCAGCACCCCUCUGAAGUUGGAGUGGAAGGCUUGAGUUUACCUGUUUGGUCUCUUUCUUUUCUCAAUCCAGCCCACCGCCGGGUCAUAUCCAACAGAUGGCAAAUUUCUUUUUGAAAAUCUUGUAGAGUCAGUUUCAAACAUCUAAUGUAUUUCUCCCCCAAAAUACACUGCAUCAUAUUCAGCAAAUUUAUCCUUAAAUAAUCCCAGGGCCUCCUCUGUCACCAUUUUGUUCCCAGAGAACUCCCUCCUGGAACUUUCUUUCCUCUGCUCCGCUCGGGGCUGAUCACUCUCUAGGCUGCCCCACGGUGGCCCUGGGGACUUCACCUGGCUGGUCUCCUGGGUUAAAUUCAGGAUCCCAGGUGUAACAGGAUGUGAAGUGAGAUUUUUCCUCAUAUCCCAGAAUUACAGAUAGAGCACAGAUGUGAAGACCAGAGGCACUUAGUUCUCCAUAUUCUGAAGAGAGCUACCAGCGAAACCUCACACCUGCCUUCCAGGGCUUGAAGGAAGGCUGGGCAAGUGGAAUUUUGUCAGAGAGUUUAAUGGAAAAGAUUGGUAAGCCUGCUAGAAGGGGGAGAGGGGCAUCUUGUUUCUCACGUGGAUGCUUGAUGAGCUGCAGAACCUGUAGGUCUACCCUGGAACUGUGGUGAUGAAAAGUUUUGGGCGUCUGGCUUGUGUCCCCUGGAGAUUAGGGCAAACAUGAAUAUAGAGACUGGUGCCUAUUUCUAGUCUAGAAAUUUCUGAGAGAGUCCCUCUGCAUUAGGCCAGGCUUAUGGGGCUUGAAAAGACUCUGGCACAGUAUACCUAAAGGAAGAAGGAGACAAUUCCUUAUCAUAUCCGGUUGAAGAGGACACAGAAGUUGUUGAAGCUCCUCAGAAAGAAGCAUGGAAGAUGGAUGAAGAGCAGGAGCCCAGGACUUUUCUGGUGGCCGCUGAGCCAACCGAUGGAGUUCCCAACCAGGAGGAGCUGUUGUGAGCGGAAGACUGCCUUUAUCUGAGGUGGUUCUGUUCUGAGAAGCAUACCCUGUCUUCUCCCUGGGGACCAUUCAUUGUGGUGGCCAUGUGAUUCCUUUUUUUCCUCAUGAGACAUUGAUAUGCAUGAGUGGGGCUUGUGAAUUAAUGGCCUCUACAUCAGAGUGUCUGGAUUCAAGGAGAGGCUAUUUAAACCUUCUUGGCCUCUGAUCUUCAUCUAUAAAUUGGGUAUGAUAAAAAUUACCUCCCUUACAGACUUGUUAUUAGGAUUAAAUGGAAUAAUAUAUUGGCACUUGUUGAGGCAGUCCAUAGAGAUCUGCCACUUGGGGAAUAGAGCAAAGUGGAGAAUGGAGCUGAAGGGGCAAGUGGAAAAUGUCCAGCCCAGUACUCAAUAAAUGUUCACUCAUUCAAUAGUUCAAUAAAUAUUUACUGAUUACCUAAUAUAUGCUAAGCCAUUAUUUUAGGCAAGGAGAUAUAUCUUAUGGAGUUUACAUUCUAGUGAGUGGCUCUUAAAUUCUAAUGGGUGAAUAUAGAAAAGUGAUAAUAAAUAUCAUAAAUAAGUCAAUUAUAUAACGAGUUAAGUAAUAAGUGAAUAAUAUAAAGGGCAUUGAGGGUGCCAAUGGAUAGUAAGGGUGGCUUGCAACUUAAAUGGGAAAGUUGGGUAGGCCUGUUGAGAAGGUGACAUUACAGCAAAGACUUGACAGAGGUACAACAGUGACCUAUGUUUACAUCUUGGGGAGGAGUGUACCAGGAAAUGGAAUUGGUCAGUACAAAGCCCUAAGGCAGGACCAUGCCAGAGGAGUUUGAGGAGCCAAUGUGUCUGGAGCAGAACAGGAGAGAAAGUCAGAGAGGGAACAAGAGGCUUGAUUGUGUAGAGUUUUGUAGACAAUUGGAAGGACUUAGCUUUUACUCUGAGUGAAACAGGGCACCACUGGGGGCUUUGGAACAGAGGAGUGACCUGAUCUGACUUGCAUUUUAACAUUGUCAUUGUGGCUACUUUGUUGACAGUAGUCCUAGGGGGGCAAAGGUAUAAGAGACUAGUUAGGGCCCUGUCACAAGAAUCCAGCUGAGAUGGUAACAGUGGAGGUGGUAAGAAGGGGUCAAGUUCUGGUUAUAUUUUGUAAGGAGAGCCAAUAAUGGAUUGGAUGUGAGAAAGAGAGAGGAGUCAAUCCUGACUUCAAAUUUUUAGACUGAGAAAUUGACACUAUGGAGUUGCCAUUAAAAGAGGUGAGGAAAAUUAUAGAUGGAGUAAGUUUGGAGAGGAAGAUCAGGAGUUUAGUUUUGGACAUAUGAAAUUUGAGAUAUUUAUUAGAAAUCUAAGUGGGGAUAUCAAAAGGCAGUUGGAUGUAGGAAUCUGGUGUUCAGUGAGGCAAUCUGAGGCACUAAUAUGAACUUGGGAGUCCUGAUAUUAUAAAUGGGAUUAAAACCCAUGAGACUGGGUGAUAGCCCCACUAUAAUGCAUAUAGAAAAGAGAAAAGGGGCCAACCCGGUGGCAUAGUGGUUAAGUUUGCGUGCUCCACUUCAGAGACCUGGGGUUCGUGGGUUCAGAUCCUGGACAUGGACCUACACUCUGCUCAUCAAGCCAUGCUGUGGCAGCAUCCCACAUGCAAAAAAUAGAGGAAGAUUGGCACAGAUGUUAGUUCGGGGGACAAUCUUCCUCAAGCAAAUAGAGGAAGAUUGGCAACAGAUGUUGGUUGAGGGUCACUGUUCCUUGCCAAAAAAAAAAAAGAGAGAGAAGAGUUUCAAAAUGUCAGCCCUGAGGCAUGCCAACAUUAAGGGGUUGGGGGAAAAAAACGAAAGAAAAGGAAACUGAGAUGAAGCAAUCAGUUUGGAGUUUGGAGGAAAAACAAGAGAGCGUGGUAUGCUGGAUGACAAUUGAAGGAAGGAUUUCCAGGGGGAAGAGAGCUAUCAGUGAGGGAAUUGCUGCUGAUAUGCCCUGUAAGAGGAGGACUAAGAAUUGAGGUUUAGUGGUGACCUAGUGAGAGCAGAUCUGGAGGACUGGUGGGGCUGAAACCCUGUGAGGUGGAGAAAGAGAGGAACUGAGACUGCUAGUAAGACAACUCUUUCAAGGAGUUUGCCCUAAAUGGGAACAGAGAAAUGAUGUGGUAGCUAGAGGAGGAAUGUGGGGUUACGACUCUCAUUUUUAUUUUUAAUAUGUGAGAAAAAAACAGCACUUUUAUUUUUCAGCAUAAACAGCAUGUCUAUUUACUAUCAGUAGGACUUGAGAUAAAGGUAAAAAUGGAUGGUGUAGGAGAGAAAAGGGGAAUGUAUCAGUCUGGGACCUGGCAAGAAGCACAUGGUACACACAAAUGGAGUAAUUUGAAGAGAAUUUUAAACAGGAUUAUUUAUUAUACAAAAUUAUGGUCAGGAUAUAAGGAAAACAUAGGGAUACUGCAAUACCUUGGAUGAGUUAUGGUUUGGCAUCAAUACCAUCUUUUGACAUGAAGAGGCAAGGGGAGGGGAAAGGGUACCAGAACCUAGAGAAUGAGACCUGUGUGCAGAGAGCUAUUUGUCCCAUUGAGCCAGCCCAUGGGGAGGGAGCUGGAACAAUAAAUGUCUUACCUUCACUUUCCUCUUUCCUACCAUCCCUGGUCCUUUCCUGGGACCACCAUCCUUCUCAUUAGCCAAAAUAAUCUGGAAGCCAGAGGACAGGGGAACCUGUUGAUUCAGGUCAGACUUCCUGGCAUAGAGCAGGGUAGGGGAAGGUGGAAAAUGGAUCUGGAGAGGCAAAUGGGAAAAAUUCUGCACAGGGAGAAUUGGUUGACUGACGACCUUGGGUGAGUGAGAGAAAAAGAACCUGGUGGACGGUGGAAGAAUUAGCCACAGAUAGGAACACCUCUAGUUCGUGCUCAGGACAGGAGAGAAGGCAGAGUGACAGGGCGCAAAUGCUGGUCAGGUAGGAUGAUGUGAUUCAGGUAGGAGGUUAGGGAUGCUUUUCUCUUCUGAUUCCUUCAAGUUUCUCAGGGAGGUAAGGAGCAAGGUCAUCAGAUUGAGCACGAGAUGUUUGUAUGUGUGGUAUUAAGGAAGCUGGGGUAUGCUUAUAAUUGUGCAUUGUUUGCUAGUUGGGGACUGCAACUAUACUUUUGCACUUCUGUCAUUUAUCUUUACUGCCCCGUGUCCUCAUAAACAUAUUCUCUUUUUUAGUCAGGUCUGUCUCCUCAUCACUCCAGUGCCCUCCAAGCUUACGUAUUCACAUUCUUUCAUCUGAAAUAAAGUACCCAUCCCUUUGUUUGUCAGUUUUCAACGUCUAAUGCCAAGCAUACUUCCUUCAUGAAACCCUCAUUAACUACUCCAUCCCGCACUAUCGUUUCUCUUCAAUUCACCCUACUUUAACUUGCAGUGAAUACCACACAAUUCUGGCUUUGUUUUCUAAUUGUUUCCUGUUAUUCUUGGUCUCUGAACUUGGUCGUAAGAUCAUCCAUAGCAAGAACAAUUUCUUUUUUGUCAUCCUCCCACAGUGAUGAGUGCAGACUUGUAAUAAGUGCUCAUUGAAUAGUUAUUACAUCCAGUAUCCAUUCAGAGCCUGCAGUGAAUCUGGGGUAACCAUGCUGGCAGUGAUUUUAAUAUAACUUUUUUUUUUUUUUUUUUAAGGAAGAUUAGUCCUGAGCUAAUAUCCGCUGCCAAUCCUCCUCUUUUUGCUGAGGAAGAUCGGCCCUGAGCUGACAUCUGUGUCCAUCUUCCUCUAUUUUAUAUGUGGGACACCUGCCUCAGCAUGGCUUGAUAAGUGUUGUGUAGAUCUGAACCUGGGAUCUGCCAAACCUGCGAAUCCUGGGCUGUUGAAUUGGAACAUGCGAACUUAACCUCUACGUCACCAGGCUGGCCCCUGAUAUUCCUUUUUUAGCUACAUAAUCCAAAGGAAAUUGUGAACAACACUUGGAAGGGGGAAAAAAAAAAUGUCUUUUCCAAUGGCUGUGAUAGCUGAAUUAUAAUUAUAGCUAAAUAUGAACCAGAUGCAUUUACUUGACACAUUACAGUUAUUGCAGGAAAAUAUUCUGAGUUUGUUAGCCUUUUGUAAACCAGAGAUUCUCAAUUCUGGUUGUAUUGGUUUUGUAUCUGGAUGUACCUGAAGCUAUUAGAAAUUGAUCAUCUGAGAGCCAAACAAACAGCAAGCUUGAGAGACAUUUGACUGAAUAUGGAUUCUUUCUGCUUCCCUCCUCCUUGCUAACUCUAAUGUAACUAGUCACCAAAUUCUGCUGGUUCUAGAUCUGAAAUGACUCUCAAUUGUCUGGGCAUCUCAAAUUUAACUUGCCCCAAACCAAAUCUUUAUAUUCUCCCUAACAUGCUACACUCUUUCCUCAUCCACCUAAACCUUGAAAUAAUUCUGGAUUCUAUUUUUCCCAUCUCCACACUGAAUCCAUCCAAUUCUGUCAGCUCUACCUUCAGAAGAUAUUGUAAUUCAGACCUCAUCACAUGUCCUGCUGUUUCCUACUCCAGGCCUCUAGAUAAAUAUGAAUCAUGGAUAUCAUCAACAUUAUAUGUAACAUUUAGAAUAUGUCUUGGAGUGAUCAUUUAAAACCAUGAAUUGUGUUUUUUCCUUUGCUCACAAACGUCCCCUGACUUUCCAUCACACCUAGAGUAAAAUCCACAGCCCUUACUGUGGCUUAGAAGACUCUAUAAAUCUGGGCCUACUUCUCCCUCUGACUUCAUGGCCCCCCACACUUUCCCCUUGUCAUUGCCUUCCAACCACACUGCCCAUCGUGCCAUUCCUUGAAAACCACAAGCAUGCUCUUGCUGCUUUCUCAUCUUGGAAUAAUCUUCUUCCCAUAUUUCUGCAUGGCUUACCUUCUCAGUUAACUCAGAUCUUUGCUCAAAUUAGUAACUCCUAAAUGAUUGCAUGUUACUGGGACUUGGAUGGGAAUAUAGCUGGGAGAGGAUAAUGUUAGAUUUUAUCAUCCCUCCAAGGCAAGCUAUUUAACCACUGUCCUUUCUAUAAAACCAAACACGACUGUUGAGGUUUGAUAAGGCACUUGCAACUUUCUACCUUUUUGGCCCAUCUGUUAACAGAAGGGAAUGUUCUGUUACCUAGAAAAAGAACCUAAAGAUAGGAGGCAUGUUCACUUCUGCAAAGCAAGCCACCCUUGUAGAAUAUCCCAAGAUUAAAGAAAUCCCAACAUUGCUGGGUAUCAGCCUCUCUGGGUGUGGAUUAUUAAGAAGAUAUAGGAUAAUCAGAAAGAAUCUUAUUAAGAUUUCUGAGUUUAUACAUAAACUCGGAUAAUAAAACUUCCCUGAUAAUAAAACUUCUUUGGAGCAUUCUAAUCUAUAGAGUUACCUCCUGUUUUAUUAAUGCCAGUUCGACCCACUCUUACUGGGUAAUAGAACUAUGAAUUUCUGUUCAGUAUGGGUGUGAAUACAUGCGUAUGUGUGUGUAAGCAUGUGUAUAUAACACUAAGCCUUUCUCCUUAGUGUCUCUCAUUUGUAGAAAUAAUAUUCCCCCUUUUAUUUGAUUCUUUUUUCCUCCUGGGACUUCCCCAGUGGCGUAAAUUCUGAACCAGAUUGGCUUUACACCAUCCCAAGUAAGACAUUGUUUUGGUUAACGUAGCUCUGAAAUCUUUGGCUGUUAGUACUUGAAGGGAGAAGUCUUCAUUAGUACCUAUUUCAGGGGGCCUCAUUCCCCCUCCCUAAUCCCCCUACUACUGUCCUAGGAGUUGUGGAGGAUUACAGUGAACUGUCUGAGUCCUCACUCUUCAGAAGGAAUGCUUUAGGGGUAGUGCUUUGAGGGUGGGUGGGUAGAAAGAUACUAGUUACCUCCCUCUCCUUUCAGUGAUCACUCAGAAAGGAAAAUGUGGGUUUCCACAGAGGAAGAUAAAUUUACCCUUCUGUGCUUGCAGUUGUGCGCAGUACUUGGAAUUUCCUGGCAUCUACUGCCACCACGUGGAUAUUUACAGUUACUGAAUUCAAACUUGAGUGUUUUCCUGUUAAGCCUGUUCCUAAGCCAAAACACAAAGAAUUGUAAGUUUGUUUUAGUGUCCUUCUGCCUCAGAUGGCUCCUAAGUCCCCUCUAGGUUACCUGUGUCCUCAAACUUACAAUGAGGUCCCAUUAUUAAAUAUGUUGGUCUUCCCUAUGCUGCAGUUUGUUAAAGCAGUACAAACGCUGUGCUGCUGGUACUGCAAUGACUUAGUUUUUGAUACAUCAGUUUGAAACAGACAGACUCUAAAAUGGUCUCAAUUAUCUCUGUUUCCUGAUAUUCAUGCCUUGUGUAGCCCCUUAACCUUGAGUGUGGGUGGGACCUGUGACUAGCUUCUAACCAAGAGAAUAUGGCAGAGGUGGUGGGCUGGCACUUCCCCAAUUACGUUACAUAAUGUCGUAACUUCCAGAUUGCUAGCAGACUCUCUUGAAUGUCUUCUGGGCUGGCAUGCAUGAAGCAAGCAGCUAUGGGGGUGAGGCAUGGUGAAAAGGAACUGAGGGCAGCUACUGCCUAUCAGCCGGCAAGAAACAGAUGCCCCCCAGGCCAACAGGACAUAGAUGAUUGAAUCCUGUUAACAGCUGUGUGAACUUGGGAGCAGAUCACUCUCCAGCUGAGCUUUCAGAUGAGACGCCAGCCCUGGCAAACACCUUGAUUGCAGCUUCACAAGAGACCCUGAAGCAGAGGACCCAAUUAAGCUGUGCCCAGAUUCUGUGAGAAUAAAUAAGUGUUGUUUUUAGCCACUAAAUCUGUGCUAAUUUGCUAUGCAGCAAUAGAUAAUUAACACACAGUUCUUUGGUUUUACUUACAUCACUCCCCUCUUCACAGGACUGCAAUAUAAGUCCUAGGAGACUGUUCUUGGAAAUAAAUAUAAUUGACAAGCACCACUCUGUGCUCAGAAUUGCCCCUCUGCUCUUGCCAAGUUCUGUCACUGAAUCAGCUUGUUGUGUCUGAUUCCUUUAGAAUAAGUUCUCUCUCAGGAGGUACCUCAGCUCCUCAUACAAGGAGAGCUCUGUGGGGCCUGCCCAUGUAGUUUCCCAAAUAAGCUUAGACAAGCUUAAAUCCAUUAAAUCCAGCAGUGGGCACAACUUAGCCUACAGCUGAGACCUCACACCUUGUCAGAUAAUUUAUUAACUUCCAGAUGUAUUACAUUAUUGCAGCUAUGGUUAUCAUGACUGAUAUUAAACUUUUUUCAUAGUUAAAAAAAUGCUUCAUGUUCCAUGAAACACUUAACUAAGAGUAUCAAAGCAGUGCUAAAAGGCAAGAGUGGGGACAAGGAGUGACUCCCCUCAUCACAGACCAUCCACUUUAUCCUAAAAUACAAGCAGGAAUAUUGUAUAACUACGCUAAAUUUGAUAUAUGUUAUUGGAAAGCCAGUUGUGCUAUGUCAAUGGCAUGCUUCUGAUAAACCAGUCUGAUGAAAGGAAGUUAACCUAUAGUAAUAAAGGAAGUUAGUCUGAUAAAGGAAGUUAGCCUAUAGUAAUAAGUUAUUUGUGAAUCUAACUUGCUCCUAAUGAUUGGCAUUUUUUUUUUUUUAAUGAUGAGCAUUUGCUUUUCUCAUAAAACAUCUUUUAGGUUAUCCAUUCUAGAGUUUUGUAGGGGGUUGUCAUCAAGCUCUGCAGUUUUUAGAAUUUAAUUUACACCUCUUUUUGAAAACCAGAACAGUAUUUAUUCAGCUCUGUUACAGAGGCUUAAAUACAUUUAAACUUGAAAAGUGCUGAGACAUUAACUUUUUGGCAUAAUUGAAGCAAGCUUGGCUCUGAAGCAUGCUCAAUUUUGACCAAAAAGGCAGUGGAGAAAGGGAGGAUGGUAUUUUCAUGCAGUUCUGUGCAGGCUUGAUCAGUCUAUAGAACUGAUCUGAUGAGUACGUUGCUGUUCAACGUAUGGUACACUCCAAUAUCCAACCCUAGACUAGACUAUUCAUGAACAUGAACUUGCCUAUGCUGCAUCUUCUGAUAUUUUAGUCUUCAUUCCCCACCCCUCAUCACCACUCCUGGUUUUGACAUCUCAACCCAAAACAAUCUCUGUUGGCUAAAGAAGUGUAAAAAACUUAGGCCAGAGGCAAUAUUUGAAUACAGAUGAGGUGCCAUGGGGAUUCCAAAAAAUCGUUUUGGUUGAGAACCCCAACCAAUGACUGAAGGUGUGAGAAAUAAGCUCCAGUAUUCCAGAGGAACUUAGGACAAAUUACAAAAAGGAUCGUGGUAGGUUUGCAAUGUUUCUGUAGAGUGUUUCCGUAGUAGAGAUGGAGACACAGGCCAUGGCCUGAUGCACAAACUGGGCCGAGAAAACAGGGUCAGAGGUGGGUGUUGGUGAAUUAUUUAUGGAAACACAUAUGCCUAGGGCACAUUGGAUAUGAAAACUGGACCCAGACCUUACCCACUAGUGAGGCUGAGCUCCCAAGAUAUUCCUGCUGUCUUUUAUUAGCCUCUUAGUAAGGUGGAACUUGGGUAAAUCCUUAAAGCACUAAGACAGAAGUAUGAAGCCAAAACUGGGGAGGAGCGGCAAAGGCUGACCUACCAGAAGAUCCAGCAUUUGCAAACUUAUGUUCAGGAGAAGUUGGGUUUAAGGUUGGAAAUUGAAGGAAGUCGACAGAUUAAUUAAUUAUUAAUUAGUCAAUUAAUUCAAGAACCUUUUUUUGUUUGCUAAGCAGAGGGGUUAUAAGGUCUAGUAAGAUACAGAUCUGGCCCACAAUGAUCUUAUAGUCUCAUGCGGAAAGUAGAUAAGCCUAAUAGGUCAACUGCGGGGUUGAUAAUGGAGCUGUGUUUUGAAGGACAGGAAGGGGGUGGUUAGAUGAAAAUGAGGAAGGAACACAGAGGAAGCAUUCGGUGGGACAGUCUGAAGACAUGAAGCCACCUAAACAUCUAGGACACUGCAAAGAGUUCUCAAUGGUGAAAACAAAGAAUGUGUGCAUGUAAGUGGCAGAUGAUGCUCGAGAGGUAAGCAGGAAUCAUAUUCUAAUGGGCUUUGAGUGGUAUGCUGUGGAGUUGGACUUGAUUGUAAAAACAGAAGAUUUUAAAUAUGAAAAAUAUUUUAAACAGGAAAAUAUUUUAAUCAGGGAAAUAAUGUGAUGAUUUGUACUUUAGAAAGAUACAUCCAGGGGCUGGCCCCGUGGCCGAGUGGUUAAGUUCAUGUGCUCUGCUUCAGUGGCCCAGGGUUUGACUGGUUCAGAUCCAGGGCACAGACUGGCUCCGCUCAUCAGGCCACGCUGAGGUGGCAUCCCGCAUGCCACAACUAGAAGGACCUGCAACUAAAAUAUACAACUGUGUCCCGAGGAGUUUUGGGGAGAAAGAGGAAAAAUAAAAUCUUAAAAAAAAAAAAAGAAAGAUACAUCCAAACCAGUGUCGUGGCUGGAUUAGAGGGGUGUAAGACUGGCGGCAGGGAGACCAGAUAAGAGGCGAGAAGAAAUGAGGGCCUGAACUAAGAGAGUGGCAGUGGGGUUAGAAAAACAUGGAAGAUUAUGAAGAAUAUUAUGCAGGUAGGAUAAUAUCGAUUUGAUGAUUGAUAAAAUGUGGAGGAUAAGUGAAAGGAGAAGGCUAUGAUGAGCACCAAGUUUCUACCUUGGAGAAUGGGUGGUUGGGGAAACAGAUUUGAGAAUGGAAGUCUGAGGAACACUAAUGUUGAAGCCUUAAGCUUUAAGGGGUUGAUCAGAACUGCAUGUAGGAGGCUGAGUACAGCAUGUCAGAGCCAUCAGAGGAAAACUGGGAGAAGGUGGAGUCACAGAAGCUAAGAAAGUAAGUAUCAAGAAACGUGGAGUGACCAACAGGAACUAAUACCACAAAGAAAUCAAGUAGAUGAGAGAAAAUUAUCUUUUGAGGUGGAGAAGACUUAUAUUUUAAUUGAGGUGCACAUGUGUGUGUAUGUGUGUGUGUAAGGGAGACAACCAAUGAACAGACAAACAAGAAAAAAUACCAAAUAAGUUCACAUCGUGGUAAUUCUCAUGAACAGGUCAUUCAUUCCACACACCUUUUGAGGCCUUGCCCUCUAACCCUAAGGACAUAUUUUCACCAGGCUUGUUAAGGCAGCUCUGUUUGAGUCUGGCAUUUGAUACCUGCUCUGUUGAGACUGAUUAUAAACUUGGGAGAACCAAGGCUUCAGGUGAAGGGCUUCAGUGGCUGGAAGUCAGUGGGGCCCAGAAUGCAGAGGCUACCUUUCUGCAUCUCUCCCGUUCCUUGUAUUCUCCCCUGAUCAUGUUUGUUUUAGUCUUUCUGCUUUCAAGAUUAUUCUCCUUGACAGAGAAGUAAAAUAGGAUCGGAUAGUUCUAUUUUCCACUGCCAUCUUUUAAUUUGCCAUUAGCCUCUUUCAGUCAGAUUAUAUCUUCCUCAUUUUUGUUCUUUAAGGCUUUCUUAACAGUCAGGCCCUUAUUAAUCUUCUUAGUAUAUUAAAAUACUUCUGUUCAUUCUGGACUUUAGUCUCUCUGUCAUAAAUCUUUUGCUUUGGUGCCAUUCCUUUGUAGUCAUCUGUUUCAAAUUUGAUCUCAUUGGAGAGCUCCCUCAGUAGUCAAAUUACGUUGUUUGAAUGCAGUAUUAGCUGGGGGGCAGACAAGCCUGCUGCACCAUAAAACCCAAAAUAUGAGAGAGAAUUCUAUUUCUCUUCACACAAUAGUAGGCAAGCCAAUCAAGGCCUCUUGUUGGUUUUACUCCCCAAGAUCAUCCAGUGGCCCAGUUUCUUCUGUCACCUCCAUUCACAUUCCACUGGAGAGAAUUUAGUCAUGUCAUCUAGAUGCAAGGGAUGAUGGUAAGUGCGUUUUUAAAAAAAUUUGAGUUCAUUAUAGUUUACAUCAUUGUGAAAUUUCAUUUGUACAUUAUUUCUUGACUGUCACCACAUAGGUGCUCCCCUUCACCCCUGUGCCCACCCCUCAACCCCCUUCCCCUGGUAACCACUGAACUGUUUUCUUUGUCCAUGUGCUUGUUCAUAUUCCACAUAUGAGUGAAAUCAUCUAGUGUUUGUCUUUCUCAGUCUGACUUAUUUCACUAGUCACAAUUCCCUCCAAGUCUUUCCAUGUUGUUGUAAAUGGGAUGAAUUUGGUUUUAUUUCUGGCUGAGUAGUAUUCCAUUGUAUAUAUAUCUAUAUAUAUAUGCCACAUCUUCUUUAUCCAAUCAUCAGUUGAUGGGCACUUGGGUUGUUUCCAUGUCUUGGCUAUUGUGAAUAGUGCAGCAAUGAACAUAAGGGUCCAUAUAUUACUUUGGAUUGUUGAUUUCUAGUUGUUUGGGUAGAUACUCAGUAGUGGGCUAGCUGGGUCAUAUGGCAGUUCCAUUUUUAGUUUUUUGAGGAAUCUCCAUACUGUUUUCCAUAGUGGCCGUACUAGUUUGCAUUCCCACCAGUGGUGUAUGAGUGUUCCUGGGAUGUGUAUUUUUUUGAUGAGUGGUCAUGUGUCCUGCUGAAAACGGGAAAAGGACCUAUUACUGAAAGGAAGACGGGAAGAAUGAGCACUGAGGAAAAAUCAGUGAUGAUGUGCCACAAAUGCUUCCUCCUCUUCUUCACUGAGAUACAUUUGACUAUGUCAUCAGAAUUUGGCAUUUGGGAGCCUCUCAACUUCUAUUUGUAAAUCACCUACUAUGUGCCAGGCACCAUGGUUGAAACUGAGGCUGCAACAAUGAACGCAAUAAUAAAACACUAAGAGAAGAAGCUGUAGCUCCUGUACCCCAAGGCAGCUCCGAGUCCUGGUGGCCUCCUGCCACUCUACCCAUCCAUCUGAGGGUCCGGCUGAUGGCCUUCAGCUCCCAGCAUUGGAAGAGUAGAAAUUCUUGGUCCACAUUGGCAAUGGCAGCAGCUCUUUUAAGCCUGGCUGUCUCCAGGACACUGCUGCACCUUGGGGCUUACUCAUUCCCUGUUUACAUUCUUCAACCUGGCCUAGUGGCUCCACUUAAAAUUUCUCUAGUCUACUUUGCGCCUUCAGUGAUACUCAAAGUUCAGCUGAAGCUACAUGUUUAGAUCUAUUGAUUAGCUGUUUGAUGUUUGGGAGCAGGAUGGCUAGGCUGAUUCUCCAACAGGUCACCCACUCUAAAUCAAAACUGGUUUGAUGAUAAGUCCUGUCCUCUCACACAGAGGUAUAAGAUAAUAGAAAAUAUGUAUAUUGGUCUCUGCCCCCAGUUCCUGAUACAGAGCUCCUAAAACCUUUGUAAUUUCCUAAGUGAUAAGAGUACUAGGAGCAUCUUAUGUCCUAAUAUUUGAUCUUUGACCCUGGUUCCUGUCACUGAGCCCGUAAAUCUCUUGGAAUUUCCUGGGUGAUAGGAGUAUCUUUUGUUCUAACAAGGUGGCUCUUGGUGGACUCUUGGAUAGGGGCUUGUUUAUCAGAAAAGCAAGCCAUGAUUAGAAGCUUGGAACUUUCAGUUCCACCCCUCAUUGCCUGGAGAGGGGUUGGAAAUUGAAUUAAUGAUGCAUCACGCCUACGGGAUGAAACCUCCAUAAACAUCCCCUGAGGGUGGGGUUUGGGGAGCUUCUGUGUUGAUGAACAUGUGGAAGUGCUGGGAGAGUAGUGGGUUCAGAGACCAUGGAAGCUCUGCAUCCUUUCCCACAUAACCUUGGCCCUAUUCAUCUCCUCUAUCUGGCUGUUCCUCAGUUAUAUCCUUUUAUAACAAACUGGUAAUCUAAUAGGUAAACUGUUUUCAUUAGUUCUGUGAGCCAUUCUAGCAAAUUAAUUGAACUUGAAGAGGGGGUUGUGGGAACCUCUGUUUUAUAGCCAGUUGGUCAGAAGCACAGGUAACAAUUUGGACUUGUGAUUGGCAUCUAAAAUGUGCGGGGGUAAUGGGAGCAGUCUUGUAGGACUGAACCCUAAUUUCUGGGAUCUGGCCCUAUGUCUCGGUAGAUAGUGUCAAAAUUGAGUUAAAUGAUAGGACCCCCAGCUGGUGUCACAGAGAAUUGCUUGGUGUGGGGGAACCUCCCACACAUCUGGUGUCAGAAGUGUUGUGAGUGUGGUAGUAGUGUGAGAGUAAAGGAGAGACACUCAGGAGGAAAAGCAGAGUUUUCCUUACAGAGGCCUUGUUAAACUUUCCAUUGCCACAUUCUUAAGUUGAGAAAGGCAGCUAAAUCACCUGCCAUUUGAGUAAACCUACAAUAAGAACAAGAAGAAUUAAAAUAAUAUUAAAAAACCUUACUCCUGAGGAAACAGAUAAUUCAGAGAACAGAAACUAUGUAAAAACAAAAUAAAACCCUUCAAAACUCAGAAAAAUUUAGGAAACUACUGAAUCUAUAAAACAAAAAUAAUAAGAACUCUGAGUACACAAUGUAUUUUAAAAAAAGGAAAACAAUUAAAGUCUUCAGAAAAAAACUGUACAAGAAACUCACAGUCUAAAUGAAUCUAAUCUAAAACAGGAAAUCCGUAGAAUUAAGGAAAAAUGGAAUGGAAUCUACUCAACAGAUGCAAUGAAUAAGAAACUGGAUAAUAUUAAAGAUGCUGGGUGGAAUGCAUAUAUUUUUUCAUCCUACAAGCAAAUAAAAGAUUAUAUGAAAUGGCGAGGCAAAAUAAACAAACACUAACAAACAAUUUUCAGUAUAGAAAAGGCAUGUUCUAAAUAUAAGGCAACUCAAAUAUGACCUGAUUUUGAGCAAUUUGUGGCAACGUAAGAAAAGAGAGUCCAUUUUGCGCAUUGUCAUGUUGAGUGGCACUUGGAUCAAGACUUUGGAGACAUAGAUUAGGAAUUCCACCUUGACUCUUCAGUGAAAAAUAUUAAAAAGACUAAUAAUCAAAAAUAAAUGCUCUUUAUAGUUUUUAACUUGGAAAUCAACUUGCAGGCAAAACACGGAAGACCUAAUUAUGGUUACAGAAUAGAACAUAAAUGUUAUCCACUUUGACCACGUGGAAGUUAUUGACAGAAGACGGGAGGGGAUGAGGAAGGGAAAAUAAAUGGAAUGUUAGAGGUCCUAUUCUCAUCUUAUGUAGGAGAAAUUCAAAGGAUACUAUCUAUAUUUGAGACAAUUAGAUAGGAGUUUGGGUAUUAUAUGAAGUCACAAAAGUAACCAGUAGAGGAGCUAAAAAUAGUGAUAUGACUGUAUAGAG
ensembl:lncRNA